GAUGAACGCUGGCGGCGUGCCUAAUACAUGCAAGUCGAGCGAACGGACGAGAAGCUUGCUUCUCUGAUGUUAGCGGCGGACGGGUGAGUAACACGUGGAUAACCUACCUAUAAGACUGGGAUAACUUCGGGAAACCGGAGCUAAUACCGGAUAAUAUUUUGAACCGCAUGGUUCAAAAGUGAAAGACGGUCUUGCUGUCACUUAUAGAUGGAUCCGCGCUGCAUUAGCUAGUUGGUAAGGUAACGGCUUACCAAGGCAACGAUGCAUAGCCGACCUGAGAGGGUGAUCGGCCACACUGGAACUGAGACACGGUCCAGACUCCUACGGGAGGCAGCAGUAGGGAAUCUUCCGCAAUGGGAGAAAGCCUGACGGAGCAACGCCGCGUGAGUGAUGAAGGUCUUCGGAUCGUAAAACUCUGUUAUUAGGGAAGAACAUAUGUGUAAGUAACUGUGCACAUCUUGACGGUACCUAAUCAGAAAGCCACGGCUAACUACGAG
rnacentral:rRNA from 1 species